rnacentral:misc_RNA from 1 species
UAUGUUUAAAAAUGGUCUGAAAGUGAAAAGAAAAUAGUUUAAAAAUAAAAAUUCCAAAUUUUGUUUCGCCUAUAAAAUUUAGUUUCAAACGAAAAAAAUUGUUGCAAAUUUUCAAUGAUCUCUCAUCACAAACUUUUAAUUUAAGAAAAAAUGAAUAUACAUUUGCUCCUAUCCCUUCUCAUGUGUAUGCUCGUCAGAUCAAUGAAGGUGUCUAGUAAAUUCCGCCACGAUCUGAAAAUAACAAACGGAGUGCCAGCAGAUAACCUGUACCAAUUCGUCGCUAGGAUAGUGUUCAAGCGAGGCACGCUCUGUACUGGCAGCAUUAUAAGUAAACUGUACACGCUAACGGCAGCGCAUUGCCUCUUGAAUCCGAAUGACAAAUUUAUUCCAGCUGCACAAGUAUUGGUACAGUACAAGUUAUUAAAAUUUGACUUAGAAGCUCCCGAAGAGAAUUUGAGUCCUGGAAAGGAAUUUGUCAUUCAUCCAAAUUUCAUACCACAUCAACCUUCAAAUUAUGAUUUUGCUUUGAUUAAGCUAAAGAAAUAAUUAUUUCAAAAUAUCUCGACUUGUCUGACAAACCAUGGCCCCAAGAUGAGCAGAUGUAUAAACGAAAAUGUAUCACCGUAGGGUGGGGAAGUAUAGCAUCAGGUCGUACUGUUUCGAACCAGCUACUUAUGGUAAAUGUUACAGCAAGACAUGGUUAUCUGGGAUGUAAAUGCUUUUUUAGUAAUGAAUAUCUUCGUUUGAUAUGUACCAAUGAGAAGGAAUCUGGCCUGUGCGAAGAAGAUUUAGGAGCGCCUCUCAUUUGCGACAACAAGGGAGUUGGCAUUGGCCACUGGUUUUUGCAAGUUCAAUCGUGCAAUCCGUUGAGACUAUCUGAAGUUAACAAAACUUGCGCCAACACAAUCAGUGUGUACAUGUAUAUCUGUCCUGUGUUGAAUUGGCUACACAAGCAUGUGGCUCAUGUUCCCCUGGAGCCAGAUACUUGUAGAGGACAUAGAACUGCGACACAGUCACCACUUAUUUUCUUCUUCUUUCUGGCCUACACGAUCACUGCGAAUAUUAAAAGCCAAACGUUUAACUUUUUAUGAGAAAUAAAUAUUGAAAUCUGGUAAUCGUU